rnacentral:rRNA from 1 species
CCCUUAGAUGUUCUGGGCCGCACGCGUGCUACACUGAGUAAUUCAAUGGGUAAGGGAACGCUAGAGCAUUACCUAAUCUUGAAAUUUGCUCGUGAUGGGGAUCGACGGUUGCAAUUUUCCGUCGUGAACGAGGAAUACCUUGUAGGCGCAUGUCAUCAUCAUGCGCCGAAUACGUCCCUGCCCUUUGUACACACCGCCCGUCGCUCCUACCGAUUGAGUGAUCCGGUGAGGCUCUGGGACCUGGACGGAAAGAGCGUUUCGCUUGUUCUGUUUGGGAAACUUGGUCGAACCUUAUCAUUUAGAGGAAGGAGAAGCCGUAACA